GUGGCGAACGGGUGAGUAACACGUGAGAAUUUGCCUUUAGGAAGAGGAUAACAUAUAGAAAUAUAUGCUAAAACUCUAUAUGCCGCUCGGUGAAAAAAGAAAUUUGCCUAAAGAGAAGCUCGCGUCUGAUUAGCUAGUUGGUAGGGUAAAAGCCUACCAAGGCGACGAUCAGUAGCUGGUCUGAGAGGACGAUCAGCCACACUGGAACUGAGACACGGUCCAGACUCCUACGGGAGGCAGCAGUGAGGAAUUUUCUGCAAUGGGCGAAAGCCUGACAGAGCAAUACCGCGUGAGGGAUGAAGGCCUACGGGUUGUAAACCUCUUUUCUCAAGGAGGAAGUUUGACGUUACUUGAGGAAUAAGCAUCGGCUAACCCUGUGCCAGCAGCCGCGGUAAUACAGGGGAUGCAAGUGUUAUCCGGAAUUAUUGGGCGUAAAGCGUCUGCAGGUGGAUAAGUAAGUCUUUUGUUAAAUUUUCAGGCUUAACCUGAAGUCCGCAAAGGAAACUACUUAUCUUGAGUAUGGUAGAGGUAAAGGGAAUUUCCAGUGGAGCGGUGAAAUGCGUAGAUAUUGGAAAGAACACCAACAGCGAAGGCACUUUACUGGGCCAUUACUGACACUCAGAGACGAAAGCCAGGGGAGCAAACGGGAUUAGAUACCCCGGUAGUCCUAGUUGUAAACGAUGGAUACUAGAUGUUGUGUACCUUUUAGGUUAGACAGUGUCGUAGCUAACGCGUUAAGUAUCCCGCCUGGGAAGUAUGCUCGCAAGAGUGAAA
rnacentral:rRNA from 1 species